CGUAGCUUCCUUGUCGUGUGGCCUCAGUCCUUCGCCGUCCCUCGCCGUCCUUCGCCAUCGCACGCCACCGCACCCCAUCUCUCGAAAUCUGCAGACAUCUUGAUUUUUCCCACGCUGUCUGUCAGGUCUCCGCCGCCACUCGACGCCAGGGCGCCGGGUGAGUCCACAGCAGGGCGCAUGGUCGGCUCCACUCUCACCAUCGGGGGAAACUGAGGCCCCGGGGAAGGCGGCCAGAGAGGUCAGGCCCUGUCCUUGGUGCAGUGUCUCGUCCUCUUUGCCGGAGUGAGCCCCCCAGGAUUCGCGUGUCCUCGGGAAAGACACUGGCAGGCCUUGUGGGCUGUGCUGCACCUCGGACGGCUUCGCACCAGCCAGCGCCCUCUCUCUCCUGCAGCACUCUGAUCUGCACCCCCUGAGGGGCUUCCACUGUCCGCGGGGUGAGAAUGCCCCUGGGAGUGUCACAUGACUGCCGCCCCAUGUGUGUGAGAGGCGUCCUCUGGGAGAGCAUGGAUCCUGAGGUCCCAGGAUUGUCAGCUGACCUCUGUCCUGUGUGCCCAGUGGCCCCAGGUGACGUGUCUUCAAGAAGAGGCUGAGCUGCGGUGCUUGUAAGAGUCAUGUGCUGUUCCUGGGGCUUGGAUGAUGUAGGGGAAGCAAGGUGAAAGUGGUAUCCCGUGGUUCCACGUUCUGUCCUGCUGUGGGGCUGUCCCUCACAUGCUUUCAGUGGCUGUUGCAGAGGAAGAGCCUCCGGAAAUCUGCGUGGGUAAAGUCUCAGCCUUAGAUCCAAGGACAGUCCAAGGAAGUCCUAAGACCAUGGAGUUGGUGAUCUGGGAUCUGGGUUUGCUGAUAUUUCUCACCGUGAAUCUCUUGGUGGUGUUUGUGGGCACGAGAGGGGCAGAGAAUGGAGAGUGAGGCUACCACAUGAAGCGUCACCAGAGCUGCUCCCUGCUGCCUGCUCAGAGCACCCCGGAUCCACUGUUCAAUCUGCACAAGAUUCGGGGUCCAGACAUGGGAGACUUCAGCUGCCUCAGAGGACCGUGGACAGGGAAGGCCAGCCUCGCAUCCCUCUGUCCAUGCCUGGAAUGACUUUAAUAACCAAGAGUUUUAUUUUUGAAUUUGUAGCUGUCGUUCACUUUUUACCCACCCAUUCAAUAAACCUUACAGAAUUGCUCCA
rnacentral:lncRNA from 1 species